rnacentral:rRNA from 1 species
UGGGGAAUCUUCCGCAAUGGACGAAAGUCUGACGGAGCAACGCCGCGUGAGUGAAGACGGCCUUCGGGUUGUAAAGCUCUGGGAUCCGGGACGAAAGAGCCUGAGGUAAAUAGCCUAAGGAAGUGACGGUACCGGAAAAGCAAGCCACGGCUAACUACGUGCCAGCAGCCGCGGUAAUACGUAGGUGGCAAGCGUUGUCCGGAAUUAUUGGGCGUAAAGCGCGCGCAGGCGGCUUCCUAAGUCCAUCUUAAAAGUGCGGGGCUUAACCCCGUGAUGGGAUGGAAACUGGGAAGCUGGAGUAUCGGAGAGGAAAGUGGAAUUCCUAGUGUAGCGGUGAAAUGCGUAGAGAUUAGGAAGAACACCGGUGGCGAAGGCGACUUUCUGGACGAAAACUGACGCUGAGGCGCGAAAGCGUGGGGAGCAAACAGG